AGGACGAACGCUGGCGGCGUGCUUAACACAUGCAAGUCAAGGGGGCCCAGCAAUGGGCAACCGGCGAACGGGUGCGUAACACGUGAGCAACCUACCGAACUGUGGGGGAUAGCCGGCCUAACGGCCGAGUAAUACCGCAUACGCUCUCAGAGAGGCAUUUCUUUGAGAGGAAACCUACGGGACAGAUCGAGGGGCUCGCGGCCUAUCAGCUAGUUGGCGAGGUAACGGCUCACCAAGGCAACGACGGGUAGC
rnacentral:rRNA from 2 species